AGACUCUGGUUUCUCUUCAAAUCGUAUAAAUCUUUCGCCUUUUACUAAAGAUUUCCCAGGAGAGGAACAAACCAUUAUGGUCAGAGAAGAAAUCUUAUAUAGCAAAAAACAUGAGGUC